rnacentral:rRNA from 1 species
GGGCGCCCAGGCGCGAAAACUUUACAAUGCGGGAAACCGUGAUAAGGGGACACCGAGUGCCGGCAUCAUAUGCUGGCUGUCCGGGUGUGUAAAAUACACCCGUUAGCAAGGGCCGGGCAAGACCGGUGCCAGCCGCCGCGGUAACACCGGCGGCCCGAGUGGUGAUCGUGAUUAUUGGGUCUAAAGGGUCCGUAGCCGGUUUGGUCAGUCCUCCGGGAAAUCUGACGGCUCAACCGUUAGGCUUUCGGGGGAUACUGCCAGGCUUGGAACCGGGAGAGGUAAGAGGUACUACAGGGGUAGGAGUGAAAUCUUGUAAUCCCUGUGAGACCACCUGUGGCGAAGGCGUCUUACCAGAACGGGUUCGACGGUGAGGGACGAAAGCUGGGGGCACGAACCGGAUUAGAUACCCGGGUAGUCCCAGCCGUAAACGAUGCUCGCUAGGUGUCAGGCAUGGCGCGACCGUGUCUGGUGCCGCAGGGAAGCCGUGAAGCGAGCCACCUGGGAAGUACGGCCGCAAGGCUGAAACUUAAAGGAAUUGGCGGGGGAGCAC